rnacentral:rRNA from 1 species
GUUACUGCUAUCGGAGUUCGAUUAAGCCAUGCGAGUCUAAAGGUUUCUUCGGAAACCUUGGCGGACUGCUCAGUAACACGUGGAUAACCUACCCUAGGGACUGGAAUAACCCCGGGAAACUGGGGAUAAUACCGGAUAGAUCAGGGAUGCUGGAAUGCGCCUUGAUCUAAAGCUCCGGCGCCCAAGGAUGGGUCUGCGGCCUAUCAGGUAGUAGUGGGUGUAAUGUACCUACUAGCCAACGACGGGUACGGGUUGUGAGAGCAAGAGCCCGGAGAUGGAUUCUGAGACACGAAUCCAGGCCCUACGGGGUGCAGCAGGCGCGAAACCUUUACAAUGUGCGAAAGCAUGAUAAGGGAACUCCGAGUGCCAGUAUCUAAUACUGGCUGUCCUUGUGCCUAAAACGCACAAGAUAGCAAGGGCCGGGUAAGACCGGUGCCAGCCGCCGCGGUAACACCGGCGGCCCGAGUGGUAGCCGCUAUUAUUGGGUCUAAAGGGUCCGUAGCCGGUUCGAUAAGUCCUCUGGGAAAUCUGGUUGCUUAACAAUCAGACUGCCAAGGGAUACUGUCGAGCUUGAGACCGGGAGAGGUAAGAGGUACUUCAGGGGUAGGAGUGAAAUCUUGUAAUCCCUGGGGGACCAUCUGUGGCGAAGGCGUCUUACCAGAACGGGUCUGACGGUGAGGGACGAAAGCUGGGGGCGCAAACCGGAUUAGAUACCCGGGUAGUCCCAGCCGUAAACGAUGCUCGCUAUGUGUCAGGUACGGUGUGACCGUAUCUGGUGCCGUAGGGAAGCCGUGAAGCGAGCCACCUGGGAAGUACGGUCGCAAGACUGAAACUUAAAGGAAUUGGCGGGGAGCACUACAACGGGUGGAGCCUGCGGUUUAAUUGGAGUCACGCC